rnacentral:lncRNA from 1 species
AGCUCUUUAUGACCCUGUCGAUUUUAACCAUUGUAUUUUUUAAAAAUCAAACCCAAACCCUAUUCCAUUUUAACUUAACUUUUAAAUGCCAUAAUCUCUAUAGUUAACCAAAUAAAAGCAGUAAAUUAAUAUGCAUAAGAAAUAUGAAGCAAAGCUAAUAAAUGAACAAGAAGAACAUUCCAAAUUAUAGUGAGGCAUCAUAUGAAUCAAUCUCAAAAAGAAAAAAAAAAGAUAAAGAAAUGAACCUCUUUUAGAACUAAUCUUUUCAAUAAUAUUAGAACUCCCACCAAAUCUUUACAAUUCAAGAAAUGGCAAGUCGAAACUACGACAAAUCAGCAAGUACACGGCUUUGACUCCAAAACUCGAAUGAGAAAACAGCGACGAUAAUCGAACAAGACUCGCGAACUCGAACCGAAAAACUCGAACGGCUAUCUACUACAAUAAUGAUUUUGAAACACCCUCGGCUCAAUCAAAUGCCAUGUUUGAAACCCAAAUCUAAUAAGAAGAAGAAGCUCAAAUAUGUUGGUACUUUCUGUUAAAGUUGGAACACCAACUAUCUUAAUAAGAGAGAUAACAUUUUUAUGCGUUUCUAUUUUUAUGAAAUUUCAAAAGGAGUGUAGGAAUCAAAGAAGAAGAUCCAAAAAUUCCUAAGACUCUCCUCCUUUUUUCUAUUUUCCUAUCAAUGUCUCGUAUUUUUUCUUCUUAUGUCCCUC